CAACACUGCCACCAGGCUGCAUACGUCAUCAAAACAACACUGACUGGACGCUGCUAUCCAAAUCCCUGCUGCGCCACUCGCAUAGUUUAACAUUAGAUAACAUAACAUCAUAUUUGUCCUAAAUCGUUAACGAUUAACAAAGGCUGCUUACACAUAUUCUGGAUCUUGAAAUAGACAAGCUCACGCUAUUUAACGUGCACGUGCGGUGUGCAAUACCUGAGUUGUCAUACACUCAACGCCUCGCAGCGCUUCUCGCCCGGAAAACCCCCUUGAAGCACCCGGCUAGCCUUUCAAGUCAUGUUUGGUUCCUGGGUCGAACAUUUGAAAGGAUGGCUGAAUGCUAAGGAACCCAUGCUGCACAUUUUUAUGAAGAGAUGAUAGCUGAUCUGAAGGCAUCUGUGGAGAAAAUCGGUUUCUUGGAAAGUCACUAAGCGGAGAAGUGAUUGAGAAAAUAGUUAACCAGUGUGUCUUCAAGAACAUGAAGCAAAACAAGAUGUCCAACUAUUCUCUGGCUCCAAAUCUCAUAGACCAAAAGAAAUCUGAAUUUCUGAGGAAAGGUGAAAUAUAAAUUGUAACUGUCAUGUUAUGUGACCGGGGAAGGACGAUGGAGAUUAGGAUAAAUGAUAAACUUUAAUAUAAUAAUACAACAACUAACUGGCAGCCGGGGGAAAAACUCACAUGUAACAAAGAUGUAUACAACACGAGAUCCGACAAAGGGAGAACGCUUAAAUACACAUGGAUGAUAACAAAGAACAUGUGGAGCAAUAGUUAAACAAAUGAGGAACAGAUGAUGAUGAUGAAACAAUAAUUAAAUGAUUAAUUCCAGACUAUGACAGUAACACAACCCAUAUUUUUGGCUUAAAAGCCUAUUUGAAGUAUUGUUUUAAGUGAAUAUGAUUUUGCUGUAUCCAUUAAAAUUCAUUAAAGUUUUCUAGGUUUUGUCUUUAUCGGGAGUUGCUGGUGACUGAAGAAUCAUUUCACUGAGGCCCUUGAGCAGCGAUUUAAUGCUGUAUACAAAGACAAAACGAAAGAUGUGAAAUUCAAAUUAAUGUGGGAUUAAUUUAGCACUUUCAUUCAUAACAUUACAGCACACAUAACUAUUUUGAGGGGUCAGUGAGUGUUGGAGCAAAUAUGAAAACAUAAGUAAGAGAUAAUGUACAUCUAGUCAGUUGUUAUUGAAAAAAACAAACAAAAAAAACAUGAUGAUCAGGUGCACAGUGAAAUAGUAAUUAUAUUAUAUACAGGGCUUGACAUUAACUUUUUUGUUCACCAGCCACAGUGGCUAGUGGUUUUCCAAAGUUAUUUAGGUUUUCUUAAUGUUUUAAUUGAUUAACGUUUAUUUGGGCAUGCUAAAAUGACUUUAUUUAAAAUAAUAUUACUUGAUUUAGCUCAAUUUAAAAUUAAGACCACAUAUAUCAGCUGGUAUACAGGCCUAUAGGUAUAUCUCUACAGGUCAUAUCAUAUAGUUAACAGCAAUUAUAAACAUGUAGUUUAGUAAAGCAUAACAGCUUUUAAUGAAUAUUAUUGGGCCACCCUUAGCAGCAACAACUGCAAUCAAGUGUUUGCGAUAACUUAAAUAAGAACUAACUUUUUUAACAGCU